UUUCCAUAUGACAAAGGAAAGAUUGUUAAAGCUGAACCGAAUUUUGGAUUGCACAUUUGGAUUCAUACAUGUCUUGGCAGUUUUGGAAAGGAUGUAUUUGGUUUCUGUGCUGUAGAACCUCCACCUCCUUGGGGAGGGGGAGUAGUAGAGUCAGCAGCAAGUAGGAGAGGUCUUGGCAGGGUGGCCUCUUCAAACUUUGCUGCCAGGAAGCUAGGAGAGCCCUAAUUAGGCAGGCAAGUAGAGUCUGAUCCAAAGCCUGCUGAAGUUAAUGGGAGUAUCUUGGUUUUGUGCAUUUUUUUCCCCCUAUUUCAGUGGACACACGAAAGCGGAGCGCUGGUAGUACCGACAUCCUGGGCCUCCUGGGUCCUGGCAGCAGCCUGGCUACAGCAACAGUGGAGCCCAGAUGAGCUACUGCUGCUUGAGGUGUGUGUGUGUGGGGGAAAUUAUCCUGGUGAAUCUGUGUGCUAAUUCAGCUAGACUAUUUCCCCUACCCAAACCAUGUUCUUGAAAACUAUCACUUUAUUGUGCUAUCCAUUGUGACUUUUCAGAUUUCUGUGUAGACAUUCCCCAUGGACAGAUCCCUUCCUAAUCUUUUCUCCUGUAAAUAGAUUGAGC
rnacentral:lncRNA from 1 species